GGGUCCAAGAGCUCGGUUUAUGGUGGAGCGCUCGAUGCUUAUUGCAGUCGAGAGGUCGGUGGUUCGAAUCCACCUGGAUCCC